rnacentral:rRNA from 1 species
UACUCAGUUCGGAUUGUAGUCUGCAACUCGACUACAUGAAGCUGGAAUCGCUAGUAAUCGCGAAUCAGAAUGUCGCGGCGAAUACGUUCCCGGGUCUUGUACACACCGCCCGUCACACCAUGGGAGUCGGGAAUGCCCGAAGUCAGUGACCCAACCGGAAGGAGGGAGCUGCCGAAGGCAAGGCUCGAUAACUGGGGUGAAGUCGUAACAAGGUACC